CUGAAAUUCAUAAGCCUGGGAAAGCAGUGAUUCAGAGAGAAACUGCUCUUCUCGGUUCUUCCAAAUUGAAAAGCACUCGAGGCAAAAGAGCAGCUGCUGCCUCUCUGGGCUGGUUGGUAUUGACCUUACUUGACCUUUUACCUGCUGUUUGAUUUGGGCCUCCAGCUAGACCAGGAAAGUACAGCUCCCCGUUCCUGGCACCCCCAUGACCAAGUUUGCCUUACACAUCUCUCCUCCUUUCCGCAGGAGUACACCCGGGAAGCCACAUGGCAGAGAGACAGCCAGGAAGUCAGGUUCCCUCCAUAUUCUCAAACCACUGGGAGGAGAAAAAAAUCAACAUUGCCAUUGAGGGGUUGUGAGCUUCCUUAACUCCAGCUAUUCAACUUACAUAUUUACUUGUCAGUAAAUUCAAAUUCAAAUAAGCCUAUAGUUACUGGGUAGAAGAAAGUGUGCCCCAUCACUCAAAGUACUCAUGAUGUGUGAAACAUUUUAAAGACCAAUUGAGCUAAUAUAUGUUUUCACUUUGACCCAGAGUAAGUUGAGCCAGUCAUUAAUGGAUGACAUGCGGUUAAAGCCAACCCAAAAGAUCUGAGUCAAAGAAUGUUCUUCUUUGACGUUGCUCUUGACUUCUCAGAGUUUGUAUAACUAAAUCCUUCAUGAAAAACAGUGACUCUGCAUGAUGUGUAUGUAUGUACAGCCACGUGAAGAGUGCCAAGAAUAUUCCUAUUUUAAAACAAUUCUAAGAACUGGCAAGUAGAGAAACCUUCACUAACCAUCUCCACCCCACACCAAUUACUCUCUUUGUAUUCCUUCAAAGUCAUUUGAACUACAUUAUCCUAUUUGUAUUGGCUGCUCCAUUUUCCCUAACAUAAGUUUUAUAUAUACAGCUGGAUUUUAAGCCCCUUAAAGAGGAGCCCUUUCUUUACGGUAGACACUCAACAGACACUUGGGAAUAUACAAGUGAACAAAUGCCUAAUUCAGACAAAGUCCCAUUUAUAAGGACUAAUGAAGCUUUCUUUCUCCUACCUACCUCCUUCCCUCCUACCAACAAUGUUCUUUGGAAUUCCAAGGUUCUGCAAGCCUGGGAGAAUGUGUUUGUGCAGACAUC
rnacentral:lncRNA from 1 species